AAGGUACUCCCUCCGUCCGGAAUACUUGUCAAAGAAAUGGAUAUAUUUAGACGUAUUUUAGUUCUAGAUACAUUCACUUUUAUCCAUUUUUGCGACAAGUAAUUUCAGACGAAGGGAGUAUGAU
rfam:Triticum aestivum genome assembly, contig: Triticum_aestivum_CS42_TGACv1_scaffold_288420_4AL